rnacentral:rRNA from 1 species
UACGGAGGGGGCGAGCGUUGUCCGAAGUUACUGGGCGUAAAGGGCGCGUAGGCGGGGUGUCACGUCCGCUGUGAAAGCCUGGAGCUUAACUCCAGCGGGUCGGUGGAUACGGACACUCUUGAAGGCAUUAGGGGAAGAUGGAAUUACCCAUGGAGCGGUGAAAUGCGUAGAGAUGUGGAGGAACACCGAUGGCGAAGGCAGCCCCCUGGGUCAAAACUGACGCUCAUGCACGAAAGCGUGGGGAGCAAACAGG